rnacentral:rRNA from 1 species
AUUGAACGCUGGCGGAAUGCUUUACACAUGCAAGUCGAACGGCAGCACGGACUUCGGUCUGGUGGCGAGUGGCGAACGGGUGAGUAACAUAUCGGAACGUAUCCAAUAAUGGGGGAUAACGAGUCGAAAGAUUCGCUAAUACCGCAUACGCCCUACGGGGGAAAGCUGGGGACCUUCGGGCCUGGCGUUAAUGGAGCGGCCGAUAUCUGAUUAGCUAGUUGGUGAGGUAAAGGCUCACCAAGGCGACGAUCAGUAGCUGGUCUGAGAGGACGACCAGCCACACUGGAACUGAGACACGGUCCAGUCUCCUACGGGAGGCAGCAGUGGGGAAUUUUGGACAAUGGGCGCAAGCCUGAUCCAGCCAUUCCGCGUGAGUGAAGAAGGCCUUCGGGUUGUAAAGCUCUUUCGCAAGGGAAGAAAUCUUAGCCACUAACAUUGGUUGAGGUUGACGGUACCUUGAUAAGAAGCACCGGCUAACUACGUGCCAGCCGCCGCCGUAA